rnacentral:tRNA from 2 species
GCGGGCGAGGUGUUAACGGUUGCACACGAGCCUUCCAAGCUCAUGGAGCGGGUUCGAGUCCCGUCGCCCGCU